CGCAGAGCGUAUAUUAAUGUUGUUGCAGUUAAAAAGCUCGUAGUUGGAUUCCUGACCUGGGGUAGCCGGUCCGCCUUGCAAAAGGUGCGCACUGAGCGGCCUCGGUCAUCCUUGAGAAGAGCGGUCCUGGCAUUCAGUUGUCGGGGUCGGGAUUCUCGACGUUUACUGUGAAAAAAUCAGAGUGUUCAACGCAGGCUUACGCCUUGAAUACAUUAGCAUGGAAUAAUGAGAUAGGACCUUGGCGGUCUAUUUUGUUGGUUUGCACGCCGAGGUAAUGAUUAAAAGGGACGGUUGGGGUUCUUCGUAUUCAAUUGUCAGAGGUGAAAUUCUUGGAUUUAUGGAAGACGAACUGCUGCGAAAGCGUCGAACAAGGACGUUCUCAUUAAUCAAGAACGAAAGUUAGGGGAUCGAAGAUGAUUAGAUACCAUCGUAGUCUUAACCAUAAACUAUGCCGAUUCAGGAUUGGCGGUCGUUUGUUCUCGACUCCGUCAGCACUGUAUGAGAAAUCAAAAUCUUUGGGUUCCGGGGGGAGUAUGGUCGCAAGGCUGAAACUUAAAGAAAU
rnacentral:rRNA from 1 species